UCCAACCCCAGCGCUUGAGGUGGCAGAGGGGGAGCUGCCCCAUGCCUUGCUCAGAGGGGAGCGGCCUCGUUGCACUCCUCCAGCCCCUCACUACUGCCCUCCCCAAGUCACUGACCGCAGUGGGAGGCCCCACAGAGAGCUGGUCAACAGCAGGGUCAAGGUCCAGGCAGGGGGAGCUCAGAGGCAUCGGGCAGCUGAGCUGUGCCCCACACAGCACCAUGAAGCUGGGGCUGCUCUGCGCCCUCGCCAUGGCCCUCCUGGCCAUGGCCAUGGCUGACCUCAAAGACUCCAAGAAGGGAAAAAUGCUCACAUGGAACAGAGAGGAGUCCAUCACAAUGUCCCGGAGCACUGGGGACGUGGAUGAAGCUCAGGCAGGCAGGCAGGAGCGCACCAGGAGGGAAACUGAGAAACCUGCACAGCAACGCCGCAGUCACAGAGCCCAGGACAGGAAAGGAGGAGCAGCGGUGGCCAAGCACAGCCCUGCGCCAUGAUGGAGCUGGGGGUCCCACCACCCCCUGACUGCACCACAGCCCUGAGGGGAGCCAGGGGGUCCUGCUGUGCCUCCAGCAUGAUGGGGCUGCCCAGCUGCCCCAGAGUGCUCCUGGGGGGCAGCACCCCCACCUGCCACACGAAGCUGCCAAAUAAAGCCACCAAACCAGCCUGAGGGUGUGUGUCUGUGGG
ensembl:lncRNA